UACAGGGUGGAUAAAGAACCUUUUUCACCUGUGCCAAGCACAAGACCCACCCUGACCUACUCAUCAGCCAUGUCUGGAGCCUUGCUUGCAGGACACCCUCAGAGCAGAAGAUUUUCCUCCUCUGCUAAUCUCUGAAGAGCUGGACCUCACCUUGGCAGGUACCUCCUCAUUUGCGUGCACUUGCUGAUGUGUUCUCUUACCCUGCCACAGGCUUCCCCAAAGCUAAUGCCUGUUAAUGCUUCUCAGGUGCUGGCUGCAUGGAGUGCUGAUGUCUUUUAUUGAAAGACAAGGAGUCAUCUUCUCCUUAGGAAAUGUUUAUGUGCCUUCCACAACACCAAAUUGAGCAAACAGAUUACCUCUCAGGAAGCCAUCUGCUCCAGCACCCUGUGAACGCUCAGUGGGAACUGAUCCUGGAUACAGUCUGCCUAGCAAUGUGGUUGUGCUUUAGCAGUGCAGGUAAACAAGCUUUUCAAACAGCUGAUCUACAGACCUGAUGAAGUUUCUGGCACUGGAGAUCUUUCCAAUCAAGGCUCAGCAUCUCUGUCGGAGGCUGUGCCGUAGGGCGGCGAGGACUCGCCUGCAGCACGGAUCCUGCUGGAGGAGGCUCUGCGCUCUGCUUAACUAAUGCUGUAUAAAUAAAUU